rnacentral:rRNA from 1 species
UUUGAAUAUAAUUUAAAGUAGGGCCUGCCCACUGAUAUGAAUUGAAGGGCCGCAGUAUUUUGACUGUGCAAAGGUAGCAUAAUCAUUAGUUUUUUAAUUGAAAGCUUGUAUGAAUGGUUUGAUGAGAAAAUAGCUUUCUUUAUUUAAUUUAAAAAGAACUUUAUUUUUAAGUUAAAAAGCUUAAAUAUUUUUAAUAGACGAGAAGACCCUAUAGAGUUUAAUUUUUAAUAUUAAUUAAGUUUUUAGAAUUUUAAAAUUUUAUUAAUAUGUAAAAUUUGAUUGGGGUGAUUAAAAAAUUAAAAUAACUUUUUUUAUUAAAUUAAACAUUAAUUUAUGAAUAAAUGAUCCAUUAGAAUGAUUAAAAGAAUAAAUUACCUUAGGGAUAACAGCGUUAUUUUUUUUUAGAGUUCAAAUCGAAAAAAGAGAUUGCGACCUCGAUGUUGGAUUAAAGUUAAUUUUAGGUGCAGAAGCUUAAAAAUUUGGUCUGUUCGACCAUUAAAACUUUACA